rnacentral:lncRNA from 1 species
AUCCUACCCAGAAUUUGCAGUUAGAGGUCAGUAAGCUAUGUAAGGCUAAAGAUUUUCCUGAGAUUUGGCGACACUACCCCGUGAAAGUGCCUACAUGCCCGCAUCUUUUCGCAUACACGAAAACACAUAAGAACCCCACCACGAUUAAACCAAUUGUAGAGAAGAUUAACAGCCUUUCAUACUGCCUUGAAAAGAAAAUAGCAUCCUGGGCAAUCGCCUUGCUUGGCCGAACCGAUGCGUCGACCACCAUCAUGGUUCGGGCGUUAUGGAGACUGAGGGAAGUGGUUUGGGAGGAUGAUGAUUUAAUCGUAACAUAUGAUUUUCAAAGCUUAUAUCCUUCCCUAGAGACGGAACCAGUGUGCUUAACCUUCUACAGAUUCCUACUCACCAAUACAACCGAAUUUCAGACAGGAGCUGCCCUACUAAGAGACAUUGCCUAUCUAUUGACGCAUAAUUCAUACUUCACAGUGUUCGGGAAUUUUUAUUUACAACUCAAAGGGGUACCAAUAGGGAGCCCAUUGGCCCCCUCCCCUAGCAGAACUG